rnacentral:rRNA from 1 species
UGCUUUACACAUGCAAGUCGAACGGAUUAAAGAGCUUGCUCUUUAGUUAGUGGCGAACGGGUGAGUAAUAUAUCGGAACAUAUCCGGAAGUGGGGGAUAACGUAGCGAAAGUUACGCUAAUACCGCAUAUGCCCUGAGGGGGAAAGGGGGGGAUCGCAAGACCUCUCGCUUUCGGAGUGGCCGAUAUCGGAUUAGCUAGUAGGUGAGGUAAAGGCUCACCUAGGCGACGAUCCGUAGCUGGUCUGAGAGGACGACCAGCCACACUGGAACUGAGACACGGUCCAGACUCCUACGGGAGGCAGCAGUGGGGAAUAUUGGACAAUGGGCGCAAGCCUGAUCCAGCAAUACCGCGUGUGUGAAGAAGGCCUGAGGGUUGUAAAGCAC